ACGACUUUGGUCUAACUCUAACGAGUUGCAAUUGAUAAUCACAAUUAAUGUUUCCUCGUAAAAUUAUUCCAUUUUGGCUUUAUACGUCUCUCUUAAUCACUCACAAAAAUCAAACAUAAAAUCUUAUUUAAGUAAAAAUGAAAUUGUUGUGGCUGGAUCAAGCAGAUUGAAAACCUUUGGUUGAUAGAAGAGAUAAGAUCAUAGUGAGGGUUAAAAUAUGGAAGGCCAUUGUUUAAAUGGAAAUAAGAGGGGCAGUUGAAGGAUAUCAUAUAGCUGGUCAAAUUCGGAGUGGCAGAAGCAGAUAAUGGAAAGUGACUGCAUCUGCAUGCGCGGGGGAGCCCAUACCCAAAGAAGGUCAAAGUGACGUCAACAUAUCUCAAUUCUCAAAGCUUUUUCUUGAGAUGAAGAUUUUGAUUUCGAUUUGCUGCAGCAAGAUUCAGUUAGAUCUACCAGGUGGCAAUGCCCCCUCAUCAGCCUUGUCAAAUCAUCAUCAAAGCUUUGAGCACCAAACCAAAAGAAUAGACGACUAGCACUCCAGAUACGCGCUGGUCGAGUGAAACUGCUGCGAGGGUGCCUCUGCCUGUUAGGCUUAGUUUAAAUUGACAAUUGAAUGCAGUGUGGUACAUUUAACUUAUUUUUUAUCUCAUAUUAUAGUAUUGCUAUUAUAUCAUAUAAACUCCCCUUUAAUUUCAUUCCCCCAUUCAUCCGUAUCGUAUUUCAAUCAAUUUAAUUAUUUUCAACCAAUAACAAUUUGCAUAUCUAUAUAUAAAGAGCGAGAGAGAACUGUUUCUGUUGGAACAAAAAAUAACAUGUCUAGAAGUACCUGUUAACCUUUGUUUGAGGGGGAGGGCACUUGAUGUGGGGCCUUCUUAUUUUUUUUCUUCUUUUAAACGUUUUGACAUUACGAAAACCAUAAGAAACACGAGUCAUAGCUGGUCUGGCCUCUCAAAGUAUGAACAAAUGUGUAUAAAGUAGAAUCACCUUGUC
rnacentral:lncRNA from 1 species